rnacentral:tRNA from 1 species
AUUUAUAUAGUAUAAAAAUUACAUUUAACUUCCAAUUAAAAAAUCUAGCUUUAGUAUAAAUA